rnacentral:lncRNA from 1 species
UGCUUGCUAGUAAAAGCUAUCCCUCUAUAUGAAACAUAUGAAUAUGUAUUAGAUAAGUGCUUAUCAAACUAUGGCUUGGGGGCAAAAUCUGGCUCUUUGCUUGGUUUUGUAAAGAAAAUUUUAUUGGAACACAGCCAUGCUCAUUUGAUUAUAUAUUGUCUAAGACUGCUUUCAUGCUACAACAGCAGAGAUAAGUAGUUGUGAUCAAGAGUGUGUGGCCCAUAAAAUCCUAAAAUAUGAACUCUCUGGCCCUUUACAGAUAGUUGGGAAUGUAUGUGUGUGUCCACAUGUGUGUAUCCCCUCCUGGAAUCUUGUUAAGACUUGUUACACUUUUUAAAACAUGUCAGCACACUGAAGCCAUCUCAGAAUGUAUUCAAAUAUAAAUUAUAAUUUUUUUUACCUCUAACAUUAGCUAAAUGUCCCUACUUGAUAAUCUAUCUAUUAUGCUAAAAUUGACUUAUAUUUGUCAGGCCUUAAUUACAAAGCAAAACAUUUGAAAUUUUCCUUUCCAGUUUGACAUUUUCUAUCCAGCUUGCAUUUCCCAAGUCAUUAAGAUUGUAAUAGUAAAAGUGCUGAUAUUAUCAAGGAAGUCAAAUUAGUAAUGCUAAAAAUAAUAUUAGCUGUCAAGAGGAUUUCCUCAAUAUAGCUUUCUUCUCCUGACUGUUUUUUUUUUUGGUCCAUUUUUAAAUUAUUUCCUUCCUCUUUUUUUAUUUUAGUCAAAUACUCUCUCUCUCUCUGUGUGUGUGUGUGUGUGUGUGUGUGUGUGUGUGUGUGUGUGUAUGCAUAUGUAUGCAUAAGUUACUCUUGUUUAAAACAAGCAUUCUUUAUUGAUCUUCACCAGUUGGUUUCUCCACUGUUAGAAAGAGAUUCCUGGAAGAAAAAAGAUGCACUUUACUCAGCGUGCCCAAUAUAGAUUUCAAAGACUUUUUUACUAUUGAGAUAUACUGUUACAAGAGCUGUGGGAGUUUACAAAAUGACCACCAAGUGGGUAUGAUGAAAAUAAUCAGGUUAAAAUUAUUCCUUUUAGUUACACAUCUAGAACAGUACACCCACACCUCAUAGUAAGAGUGGUAAAUUACUAUCCUACCUUCUGUUAUUAUUGCUUAUGCUCUCUCUCCCUGCCUCUUCACUCUCUCAUUCACUCAGAUAGACAGAUAAACACAUUCACACACUCAUACUUACAUAUAACUGUUACCCCAUCAUCAUUAAACUGCUAAUACCCUACUUAAACUCAGAGAAUGAGUUAAGAAUAUUUUUCCUAGGAAUCUGUUUGGCUUCAAACCCUGGCUGCUUCUCAACACCCUCACCCUGCAGCCACUAAUCUUGGGAAAGUUUUAAAGCUAUCUCUAUCGCGGUUUCCUUAUGUAUAAAUGGGAAGAAUAGUACCUUUCAUUGGAUCGUUGUAAAUAUUAAAUAUGGUAACACCUGUUGUUAUGGACUGAAUAUGUUCCCUCAAAAUUCAUAUAUUGAAGCACUAACCCCCAAUGUGAUGGUAUUUGGAGGUGGGGCCUUUGGGAGAUAAUUAGAUUUACAUGAUGUCAUAAGGGCGGGCAGGACUUCAUGGUGGGAUUGGUGCCAUUAUAAGAAGAAAAGAUACCAGAGUCCUCCUUCUCCGCCAUGUGAGAAUGAAGAGAGAAGGAGUCUAUCUACAAGCCAGGAAGCCAGCCCUCACAAGGAACCAAAUCUAUCAGCACCUUGAUCUUGGACUUUCCAGCUUCCAGAACUGUGAGAAAUAAAUCCCUAUUGCUUAUGUCACCCAGUCUAUGGUAUUGUUGUGGAGCAGCCCUAGCUAGGACAUCUGUAAAUGACAAGUUCUAUACUACUAUAUAGGACUGCUGGAUAAAUGCUAGCUAUUCCCAUUUCCCUCUGAGAACUGAAAUACCUGAAACUUCUAUUAAAAGUCUUUGUAUUCC